rnacentral:rRNA from 1 species
UACGGGGGGAGCAAGCGUUGUUCGGAUUUACUGGGCGUAAAGGGCGCGUAGGCGGCGCAACAAGUCACUUGUGAAAUCUCCGGGCUUAACCCGGAGCGGCCAAGUGAUACUGUCGUGCUAGAGUGCGGAAGGGGCUACUGGAAUUCUCGGUGUAGCGGUGAAAUGCGUAGAUAUCGAGAGGAACACCUGCGGCGAGGGCGGGUAGCUGGGCCGACACUGACGCUGAGGCGCGAAAGCCAGGGGAGCGAACGGG